GUGCCAAAGAUUCUUGACCUGUCCUUUGAGUGCCCUUGAGUUUCUACAGAGCUCCUACAUAUGAUGGUUUUCUGGUUCUUUGUUGGAUCACAUGAAAAUGGACUGUCAUCAGAAGUACCAAUGAUUAUCUCUGCAAUACAUUUUUGGAAUAAAAAAUAAUCCGUUGGAGGACGUUUCUGAAAGGGGAAAGAACAGCAAAGAACAGAGGAAUAAAAUUUAAAUUUACUGUAAUAUCUUAACAGUGCCAUGUGCCCAGGUUAUAUUUUUCUCUUGGUAACAGUGACAUUUAAGCUAUUUUGGAAGACUGAGAAUACCAAGCCAUUUUUUGGUGUCUCAAAGCAUCUAAUACGUGCCUGUAGCAUGUGAAAACUGAAGUUAAAGUGAGAAACCACCAGCAGCCUGAUUCUUUAUCAGAUUCAUGUUGACAUUCAUGGAAAGAUUGACUCUCAGAGUUAAAUUUGUUCUCCAUAGUCAGUUCCUGGAGCUUUAACUCAAACUGUCAUAUAAUUGUGCUCCAAAGUGAGUUUUUCAUACGUGUACCCUGUCUGAUGUAGAAACUCAUCAGUAAGGAGUUAAGCAUAAUGUCUUCGCUUUCCAAGGGUGGAACAAAUAUUGGUGUAUUGUGUGUGAACUGUGAGUUGGGUUAAUCUCUGCAGAAUUUUUUAAAAGCCUGAAAAUAUGUGUAGAAAAUAGGAAGGUGUUUCCAUCCAAAAGGUCUUUGUCUCUUUCACCCACACAUAAGAAAAGUCUUUCAUUAGUACAGGUUCAACACAGAAACCACUUAGUAGCCUUUCUCUAAAACAAGCGGCAGUGAUCUUAUCUAAUUUACUGUUACAUUAUCUGUGUCUAGCUAGGAUCUGGCCGGAAGCAGGAGCUCAAAAAAUAUUUAGUGCAUGAAGGAACAAACUGGUAAAUGGGGACUGUGACAACCAGGUUCUCGGUGCCAGAAGCCACCGGGGGAAAAUAACAGUGGUGAUCAGAAAUGGUUACAACCACUAGAUUUCUGCUUUGGCCACCGUAGAGGAACGUGUGACUGGAACUAACUCUGCCACGGUAAACAACGAUGAAAGCUAAAUAAAAUACAUUGUCAUCCGUUUAUAGGCAUCAAGGAGGCCAUAAACCAAAGCAGGCAGAACCUAAGGAGCUAUAAUCCCUGAAAGACAGGAAGCACGCUGGGGUAGGCUCCACAUUCACGCUGACUUCUCUGUGCAAAUUCACAGCACAGGGAUGUGAACGCCUGGGAGAAAGCAGCAAUCCCACUUGGUCGAAGAAACAAGGUUGGGGUUUGGGCUACCAGAAUAGCUAGGACAUGGGGGGCAAGUCCCACAGAGUAGAAAACUUCAGGAAAGUGAGCUGGAAAUGCUGCUCCUUAAAGUGUUUGCCAAUCCUAAACCAUGUGCACAAAGGGACACCUCCAGAAACAAAGCAAACAGCAGCAGCUGAGAGACUAAGGAGCUGAGCAGAGCUCUUAGUGCCGAAGAGACAGAGGCUGGUGUUCAAGGUCGCCAAGGUGCAGUGACCCCAACAAGCACCCCAGAUUUUCAAUGGAGAACCCAGAGAGGCCAUGUGCCAGGAAUAAGGGCAAAAACUGAAGCUAGCCCUAACAAAACCUAAAUCCAGCCUCAGUGGGGUUACGGUGACCUGCCUGUGUUCCACCUGCCUGCUAGAGGAAAACUGGACCAUUUGAGGAGGAAGAUGUCACUCAGAGCCUCUACAGCCUCUACUAUGCAACCUAUGGUGUCCACUUACACGUAUAUGGCAUCCUAAAAACUAGGCCCAAAGGAAUGAAAACCAUGAGGAUAUAUAUACAUGAACAACAGAGACAACCAAUGGACUAAUUUGGACAUAUUUAUCAGAUAAGAACUUUAAGUUCAAGAACAUAGAGGAAAAGACUGAGAAUUUCAGCAGAGACCUAGAAUCUAUAAAAGAGAGUCAUUGCAUAUUUUAAGCCCCAAAAUACAACAUAUGAAAUUAAAAUUAAAAUUUAUUAGAUCCAGCAGAACAAGUAUCUGAAAGAAGAUCAAAGUUAGAAGCCCUACGUUAUCAUAUAUGAAGCCUUCAUAAAAAUUCCAACUACAAUGCACUGAGCUUGUCAAUACAUGGUGCUGGGUUAAGUGAAUACUCAUACAGAGAUAAAGGAACUUUGGCUACUACUUCAUACCAUAUACAAAUAUCAGUGCUAGAUGGAUUGUAUACCUAAUGAGAAUGGUAAAACAAGCUUUUAGAAGAAUGUAAGACUAUCUUCAUAAUAUUGGGAUAAAAAUUAAUUAAUGAAUGUCUUUUUUUUUUUUUUUUUUUUGCCUUUUCUAGGCCGCUCCCACGGCACAUGGAGGUUCCCAGGCUAGGCGUCUAAUCGGAGCUGUUGCCGCCGGCCUACGCUACAGCCACAGCCACAGCCGAUCCGAGCUGCAUCUUCUUGACCUACACCACAGCUCACGACAACACCAGAUCUUUAACCCACUGAGUGAGGCUGGGGAUCGAACCCACAACCUCAUGGUUCCUAGUCGGAUUCGUUAACCACUGCAUCACAACGGGUCUUUUUUAGGGACACACCCACCGCAUAUGGAAGUUACUAGCUAGGGGUCCAACUGGAACUGUAGCUGCCAGCCUAUGCCACAGCCACAGCGAUGUAGGAAAAAUUUAUUAAACAAGACACAGAAAUCAUUAACCAUGAAAUGAAAGAUUGGUAUAUUUGACUUCCUAAAAAUUAGUGCCUUCUGGUCAUCAAAGGUCACCCUCUGGAAAGUGGAAAAGGAAACCGAAGAGAAGAUAUUUAUAAUAAUACAACAGACCAAAAAAAAUCAAUAAAAUAUAAAGAACCCCAGCAAAUCAAUAGGAAAAAGACAGAAAACCCAAUAAGUAUGAACAAGUGACCUAAACAGACACUUACCAAGAAAAUAUUUCCAAAUGGUUAAUAAAGAUAUAUAAAGGUAUUUCACACAUCAUUACUUCUCAGAGAAAUGCAUAAUAAAAUCCACAAUAAAAUCCACGCUUGCCAUGAUGGAUAAAACCACCAUGAAGUACACACUUUCCAGACUGGCUAAAACCAGUAAGCUGAUGGCACCAAGUACGGCUGAGGGUGUUGAGCAACUGGAAUUGCCAUACAUUGCUGGUGGGAGGGUAAAUUGGUACAACCACUACUGCAAACUAUUUGGCAAUAUCUUCUACAGCUAAAUAGACAUUCACUCUGUGACUCAGUAGUUUUGUUCUUAUGUAUAAACCCCAAAGAAAUGACCGCACAUGUGCACUAAAAGAUAUGUAAAGGAAUGUUGACGGCCACUUGAAGACAUAAAAGCCAGAAAUUGUAUACAACCCAAACAUCCAUCAACAUUAAAAUGGAUCAAUUAUAAUAUGCACAUCUGAUGGAAUACUACAGAGCAAUAAAAAAGAUCAAACUGUUGUUAUUACUACAUGCAAAAACAUAGAUGAAAUUUCACAGACUGUAAUUCUGUUGACAGGGAGGUCAAGAACAGGCGAAACGAUGCUACGGUGAUAGAAGGUAGAACACAGGUGAGGUCUGCAUGUGGACUGGAAGGAAGCCUCGGCUUGAUCUAGGUGAUGGUUAUAUGGGUGCAUAUAUAUGUACAGCUUCAUUGAGCUUUCACUUAAGGUCUGUGUACUUCAUAUGUUACACUGCAUUUAAAAAGGUUACAAAUAUGAUCACUACCUCUCUGUGGUCUCAGCACCUGGUCUGGACGGGUCUCUUUGGCCAGGGGUCUGGGUGGAAGACAGCAGGAAAAACUUGGGGGAAAGUAAGGAAACAGAGGAAGACGUUAUCCCAGGGAUCUCCCAGAAGAAAAUAACCACCUUACAAAGUCUAGGCACAGCGCAUUAAACAAAUCCAUUUAUCCACACAGUACAUAAACUUAUUACAAGGAAUUUAUCUAUAUGGCCAUUGAAAUAGCAUUUUAGGGGCGUUCCCGUCGUGCCGCAGAGGAAACGAAUCCAACUAGGAACCAUGAGGUUGCGGGUUUGAUCCCUGGCCUCACUCAGAAGGUUAAAGAUCUGGUGUUGCCGUGAGCUGUGGUGUAGGCUGGUGGUUGUAGCUCUGAUUGGACUCCUAGCCUGGGAACCUCCAUAUGCUGUGGGUGCAG
rnacentral:lncRNA from 1 species